rnacentral:rRNA from 1 species
UACGGAGGGUGCAAGCGUUUAAUCGGAAUUACUGGGCGUAAAGCGUGCGCAGGCGGUUAUAUAAGACAGUUGUGAAAUCCCCGGGCUCAACCUGGGAACUGCAUCUGUGACUGUAUAGCUAGAGUACGGUAGAGGGGGAUGGAAUUCCGCGUGUAGCAGUGAAAUGCGUAGAUAUGCGGAGGAACACCGAUGGCGAAGGCAAUCCCCUGGACCUGUACUGACGCUCAUGCACGAAAGCGUGGGGAGCAAACAGG